rnacentral:tRNA from 1 species
GGGUCGUUAGCUCAGUUGGUCGAGCAGUUGACUUUUAAUCAAUUGGUCGCAGGUUCGAAUCCUGCAAGACCCACCA